GACGCUUGUGUCGUCACCCCAGCGAUGACGCAAGUGUUUUGCGCCCGGCUGCCGAUGGGCCUCUGGGCCACGGAGAGCCUCUGGGAAGUGGGCACGGAGCAGCCAGGCCCUGCAGAGAGCUACUGGCGCAAGGGUUUGUGCGCAGGGCUACUACUAAAAGUAUGAUAUUUAAGACACGAAGUAGAUGGAGUCCCAGUGUUCUGUGUGAAGCCCUCCCUGACAGCCACCGCCCCGAGACAGAGGCACCCCUGCUGUGCUCUCCAGCCCCUCUGCCGACUUCUCAAACGGAACACGUAUUUAUGUACCAUAUUUGAAACUGAUAAUUUAUGAAUUGGAACUGGUGCUGGCUCUGUCAACUUUGACAAGGCGUGAGUUAUAUCAGCAAU